GGUAGAAUUCCAGGUGUAGCGGUGAAAUGCGUAGAGAUCUGGAGGAAUACCGGUGGCGAAGGCGGCCCCCUGGACAAAGACUGACGCUCAGGUGCGAAAGCAUGGGGAGCAAACAGGAUUAGAUACCCUGGUAGUCCACGCCGUAAACGAUGUCUACUUGGAGGUUGUGCCCUUGAGGCGUGGCUUCCGGAGCUAACGCGUUAAGUAGACCGCCUGGGGAGUACGGCCGCAAGGUUAAAACUCAAAUGAAUUGACGGGGGCCCGCACAAGCGGUGGAGCAUGUGGUUUAAUUCGAUGCAACGCGAAGAACCUUACCUGGUCUUGACAUCCACAGAACUUUCCAGAGAUGGAUUGGUGCCUUCGGGAACUGUGAGACAGGUGCUGCAUGGCUGUCGUCAGCUCGUGUUGUGAAAUGUUGGGUUAAGUCCCGCAACGAGCGCAACCCUUAUCCUUUGUUGCCAGCGAUUAGGUCGGGAACUCAAAGGAGACUGCCAGUGAUAAACUGGAGGAAGGUGGGGAUGACGUCAAGUCAUCAUGGCCCUUACGACCAGGGCUACACACGUGCUACAAUGGCGCAUACAAAGAGAAGCGACCUCGCGAGAGCAAGCGGACCUCAUAAAGUGCGUCGUAGUCCGGAUUGGAGUCUGCAACUCGACUCCAUGAAGUCGGAAUCGCUAGUAAUCGUGGAUCAGAAUGCCACGGUGAAUACGUUCCCGGGCCUUGUACACACCGCCCGUCACACCAUGGGAGUGGGUUGCAAAAGAAGUAGGUAGCUUAACCUUCGGGAGGGCGCUUACCACUUUGUGAUUCAUGACUGGGGUGAAGUCGUAACAAGGUAACCGUAGGGGAACCUGCGGUUGGAUCACCUCCUUACCUUAAAGAAGC
rnacentral:rRNA from 1 species